AUUGAACGCUGGCGGCAUGCCUUACACAUGCAAGUCGAACGGCAGCACGGGAGCAAUCCUGGUGGCGAGUGGCGAACGGGUGAGUAAUACAUCGGAACGUGCCCCGUAGCGGGGGAUAACCAGUCGAAAGAUUGGCUAAUACCGCAUACGCUCUACGGAGGAAAGCAGGGGACCGCAAGGCCUUGCACUAUGGGAGCGGCCGAUGUCGGAUUAGCUAGUUGGUGAGGGAAAGGCGAACCAAAGCAACGAUCCGUAGCUGGUCUGAGAGGACGACCAGCCACACUGGUACUGAGACACGGACCAGACUCCGACGGGAGGCAGCAGUGAGGAGUAUUGGUCAAUGGGCGCAAGCCUGACCCAGCCAUCCCGCGUGCAGAAUGACGACCCUAUGGGUUGUAAACUGCUUUUAUACAGGAAGAAAAAUCUCUACGUGUAGGGACUUGCCGGUACUGUAUGAAUAAGCAUCGGCUAACUCCGUGCCAGCCGCCGCCGUAA
rnacentral:rRNA from 1 species